CGUACCCGCCCGCCUGUGCCCACCCGUCCGCGCUUUCUUUUUCUUCGUCCAGGAUCGGGGCAACUAGCGCUUGAUUAGCGCUUUCCUUUUUUUUUCUUCCACAAUCACCGCACGCCGGACACAGGAUGCAUCACGAGCAGCCAUGGCGAGGAGAGGAGGGGAGCGUGGAGGCCGAGGAGGAGGAAAGCCUCGCCCCCGGCCAUGAAAGGCAGACGCCGCGGAAGGCGGGCGCUCGCUACCCAAGGGAUAGGGGCACGCCGCGUCGGUCGCGGGCGUCGGCGCCGGCGGCGGAUUCUACGGCUUCCCUCCAACGUCGCAACACUCCAGGUCAUGGCGCGAGAUCCCCUUCCUCCCCACCGCCUGGCCCCUACCCCGACUUCCAGCGCCUCCUCCCCGCCGCGGACGCUCAGCACCUUCCUUGGAGUGUUUGCUGGAUUGCUCAGUGCUUACAUAAUAAAGAAAUUCUACAUCAGGAGGCACUCCACUGACCGUGAGGUUGCCCUUAUGAUGCUCAUGGCUUAUAUCUCAUAUAUGCUGGCUGAGUUGCUAGACUUGAGCGGCAGUCUCACUGUGUUCUUCUGUGGUAUUGUGAUGUCACAUUACACCUAGCAUAAUGUGACAGAUAGCUGAAGAGUUAAACCAAGCAUGCCUUUGCAACUUUGUCCUUCAUUGCGGAGAUUUUUCUUUUCCUGUAUGUUGGUAUGGUUGCGCUUGAUAUCGAAAAGUGGGAGUUUGCCAGUUACAGGUCAGUUAAAUGCACAUCUUACUUAUAAAUACCUUUUCUGUUUAUGAGUACUCAGAUUUGUUGUUUCCGAUUUGCAGCCCUGGGAAAUCCAUUUGCAUAAGCUCAAUUUUGCUAGGAUUAGUUCUGGUUGGAAGAGCUGCUAGACUUUGUGUGCUUAUUCUUAGGAAAAAUAACUUGGAGACAACACUUUCUGUUGAAAUUACUUUUUCAAUAGGAUAAUCUUAACUGAAUUUUUUAACAAAUCGUAAUAUGGUGGGCCGGGCUGAUGAGAGGUGCCGUGUCCAUUGCACUUUCUUACAAUAAGGUUUGUUUUCUUUGCCUUGGCCAACUUCACACCAGUUCCUCUUGAAGUAUCUCAUAAGUUUUUUUCUUCUCCAAGUUUAACUCUUCCUCUUGGAACUGCAAGGACACACUCAGCUUCACGGCAAUGCGUUAACGAUCACCAGCACAAUCACUAUCGUCCUAUUUAACACCAUGGGCCUUGACGAGGGGGAAGAUGUUUGAGGUGUUGGAUGAGAAAGGGCUAAUGGUGGUGGCUAUCAUUCCUGAAACUAAAGUAGAGCUUGUCAUUAUGAGUGCUAUAUUUGUAGCAAAGAAAACUUUAGCUAGGAGACUUCAUCCGUGUGAGGACAGUAGUCAAAUAUAUAGUGUAAACCUGCUGAAAUAUAAUGAUUUUCUUUUACUUGGAUUAUGUGUACCAUGCAAACUCCACUUGCGAAAUUCUCAUUCUACAUUGCUAUA